CUUGUCCUACGGGAGGCAGCAGUGAGGAAUAUUGGUCAAUGGCCGGAAGGCUGAACCAGCCAAGCCGCGUGAAGGACGAAGGUGCCAAGCAUUGUAAUCUUCUUUUGUCAAGGGACAAAAUCAGGCUCGAGAGCCUGACCGAGGGUACUUGAAGAAAAAGCAUCGGCUAACUCCGUGCCAGCAGCCGCGGUAAUACGGAGGAUGCGAGCGUUAUCCGGAUUUAUUGGGUUUAAAGGGUGCGUAGGCGGGCUGUUAAGUCAGCGGUAAAAGCCCGGGGCUGAACCCCGGCGAGGCGUUGAAACUGG
rnacentral:rRNA from 1 species